GGAGAAGAUCAGAUGAUCGUCGGCAGAAUUUAUCUGCCGGAGGAAAGUCCGAGCUCCACAGGGCAGGAUGGUCGCUAACGGCGACUGGGGGGCUCACCGCUUUUCCGGUGACGGAAAAGGCAUGGUAAACCCCAUCCGGAGCAAGACCAAAUAGGAGAACGUUUAAGGGCUGCCCGCCUGAAGUUCUCGGGUAGUGUCGCUAGAGGCGGCAGGCAACUGCCGUCCCAGAUGAAUGAUCAUCGUUGCGUCGCGGGUAACCAAAACGCAAAACAGGACUCGGCUUAUGAUCUUCUCUUGUG
rnacentral:RNase_P_RNA from 1 species